AGGAAGACUAAAAAAAUGAAAGAAAGUGAUACAGUAUCGGUUCUUUCUCUGGAGGAGGAGAUCGUGCUUCAUCAUGAGUCCUCUGGCAUUGUCUUGGAUCGUCGUAUGGCCGAGAGUAGGCUUCCUUCAAAUUGUGGUUGUGGACGUGCCAUUUCAUCCAUGAGAAACAGCAAAAAAACGUCACUUCAUUGACUUACAAGGAAACUUCCAAUCUUCUUUAAGGCUUCAGACUGGAACCAAGACCCCACUACACUCACAGCAUCAGAGCCACACAGAUGCUGCUGCUGCUGCUUCUGAACUUCCUCUUCAGGCCACAACCCAAAGCCUGCAACCCCUCCUCACUCAGCCCUGGAUCUACGACCCAGAAAUGGAGCCUGAGCAACAGACCUGGUACUUGGCAGCCAUUUCUGCACCCUUCAUAAGGAAGCGGCAAGCAGGAGGAUUUAAAAAAAAAAAACCACAAAACCCUGCAUAGACUUACGUGAACGGACGGAAAGAGAAGUGAGCAGAAG